GGUUACAAAGUUAAUGCCAACAAUCUGCUUUAACCUCUUAGGCACACUGGGUGGUAUCAGCAAAGGAGAAGUCUGACAGGAGGAAUCAGAAAAGGAUUUUAAAGACUGGCAGCCACUCGAUAAAAUGGCCAAGGAAAGUUCCCUCUAGGCAGUAAUAAAUGAUGCGGGCCAAUCAGCAUUUAAGAAUGA